AGGAGGAACAACCGCAGUGGCGGGGCAGCUCUGGAGCCCUGGAGUCAGCCCCCGCAGUAACUCCGGAGCUCUCCGUCUGCAGGGCCUGGAGGCUCCGGGCGGGG
rfam:Canis lupus familiaris chromosome 21, whole genome shotgun sequence.